UAGUCUCACAAACCAACGGAAAAGUGGGUGCGAAAUGGACAAAAAACACAGAAUUGAUCGAAAAUUGACUAUAAUAUUAAUCAAAUAGUCUCUUUAUUAAAUGGUGUAUCUCAACUUUCCCGCAAAAUCGAACUUCCAAAAAACGAGUGAUCAAUGUCCGAAGAGAGAGAAGCACUACUAAGAAGAACGAAAGCAAAAGGCUUAAUGUAGUUCACAAAGUAGUAUUGAAAAAUAAGUUUGCGAUAAAAUGGGAAAGAGAUAGUGGUCGAGAAAUGGAACCAAGGAAAAGAAGGUGAGAAAAUAAGAAGUACAGUGGGUAAAGGUAACAAGUAUGUUACUAAUGUGAUGGCUGCUAAGUAACCGAGAGAAUAAAAUCCUACGGAUUAAAACAAAACAAAAGUUACUUAAGUUGUUUUUUACAUUUUAAGCUACUCAACUGUUACCAUAUCCUUGCACCGUACUUUUUUUUCUAUUACCAAGUUGC